AUGAAAAUGAUAAUGAUGGUGAUGAAGAUGAGGUUGUGGUUAAGAAAGCAUACUCCUGUUCAAAAAACCACUUAGAUGAUCAUCAGACCCAAUACCAUGAUGAUGAUGAUGAUGAUAUUGAAGGUCUUCUCAACCCACAAGUUAACACCCCAAAACAGCAGGUGAAUGAAGUGGAGGAGACAGACCAACCAUAUGAUUUACACUCUGAUUCAGAAGAUUUACCAAAGAAGAAUGAUGCUGCAGCCACAAAUGAGCCAGAGGGGUCUGACAAUGAGUUUGACCACUUCUAUGAUUAAACCAGAAAUUCAAACAUGAAGGGGAACAAAUGGAAAGAAGAGAAACAACAAUGGAUGAAUGCAGUAGACUGAAGCUGCAAUAAUUCUGUGCUUUCAGAAAAUGAGCAAGGUGCACAGCCUAAACAGCAGCCCCGGAGGCCAGAAAGGCAGAGCAAUGAAUCGAGGAAUCCAAUUACAAAGGGAUGAAAGGGAAAGAAAGGGAUAAAUAGAUGGCUGGGUGUCCUCAUCUUUUUUUUUAUUAUUUGCUGGUAGCUUAUCUGACUGUCCUGAAAGAACUACACCAAUGUCACUCUGCAAACACAGGUGGAUCGGCUCGCCUGAUGGACACGAAGAGAGAAUAAAAGACGAGAUGAAUAGUGCAGUGCCGUGGAGGACGUUAAAUUAAUGAGUUGAUC